ensembl:snRNA U6 U6 spliceosomal RNA
GUGCUCGCUUUGUCAUAUAUAUUAAAAUUGCACAUAUAUUAAAAUUGGAAUGAUACAGAGAAGAUUAGCAUGGCCCCUGCACAAGGAUGACACGCACAUCCAUGAAGCGUUUCAUAUUAAA